rnacentral:rRNA from 1 species
UACAGAGGUCUCAAGCGUUGUUCGGAUUCAUUGGGCGUAAAGGGUGCGUAGGCGGCGCGGUAAGUCGGGUGUGAAAUCUCGGAGCUUAACUCCGAAACUGCAUUCGAUACUGCCGUGCUUGAGGACUGGAGAGGAGACUGGAAUUUACGGUGUAGCGGUGAAAUGCGUAGAUAAUCGUAAGGAAGACCAGUGGCGAAGGCGGGUCUCUGGACAGUUCCUGACACUGAGACACGAAGGCCAGGGGAGCAAAACGGGGA